CUUGCACCUAAACCCAAAGAAUCACUGUUUCUUGAAGUGGUGGUUUAAACAAGGUGCAAACAGCAAGCGAAUCUCAUUACUUUUGGUGGCUGUGGCCAUGCUCCUUAAAGUGAACUUAGAGGCUCUACAUCC
ensembl:snoRNA